rnacentral:rRNA from 1 species
AGACUGAUGGCGACCGGCGCACGGGUGCGUAACGCGUAUGCAACUUGCCUCACAGAGGGGGAUAACCCGUCGAAAGACGGACUAAUACCGCGUACACUCUAUGUUGGGCAUCCAAUGUAGAGGAAAUGAAAUUCGCUGUGAGAUAGGCAUGCGUCCCAUUAGCUAGUUGGUGAGGUAACGGCUCACCAAGGCGACGAUGGGUAGGGGAACUGAGAGGUUGAACCCCCACACUGGUACUGAGACACGGACCAGACUCCUACGGGAGGCAGCAGUGAGGAAUAUUGGUCAAUGGGCGAGAGCCUGAACCAGCCAAGUCGCGUGAAGGAUGACUGUCUUAUGGAUUGUAAACUUCUUUUAUACGGGAAUAACAAGAGCCACGUGUGGCUCCCUGCAUGUACCGUAUGAAUAAGCAUCGGCUAACUCCGUGCCAGCAGCCGCGGUAAUACGGAGGAUGCGAGCGUUAUCCGGAUUUAUUGGGUUUAAAGGGUGCGUAGGCGGCCUGUUAAGUCAGCGGUGAAAUCUAGGAGCUUAACUCCUAAAUUGCCAUUGAUACUGGCGGGCUUGAGUGUAGAUGAGGUAGGCGGAAUGCGUGGUGUAGCGGCGGAAUGCAUAGAUAUCACGCAGAACUCCGAUUGCGAAGGCAGCUUACUAAGGUACAACUGACGCUGAAGCACGAAAGCGUGGGUAUCAAACAGGAUUAGAUACCCUGGUAGUCCACGCAGUAAACGAUGAUAACUGGGCGUAUGCGAUAUACAGUAUGCUCCUAAGCGAAAGCGUUAAGUUAUCCACCUGGGA